rnacentral:rRNA from 1 species
AUUGAACGCUGGCGGCAGGCCUAACACAUGCAAGUCGAACGAGUGGCGGACGGGAGAGAAAUGUCUGGGUAACUGCGUGAUGGAGGGGGAACACUACGGGAAACGGUAGCUAAUACCGCAUACAAUGAGAUGUGCCCAGAUGGGAUUAGCUUGUUGGUGGGGUAACGGCCCACAAAGGCGAAGAUCCCUAGCUGGUCUGAGAGGAUGACCAGCCACACUGGAACUGAGACACGGUCCAGACUCCUACGGGAGGCAGCAGUGGGGAAUAUUGCACAAUGGGCGCAAGCCUGAUGCAGCCAUGCCGCGUGUAUGAAGAAGGCCUUCGGGUUGUAAAGUACUUUCAGUGGGGAGGCGUUACCCACAGAAGAAGCACCGGCUAACUCCGUGCCAGCAGCCGCGGUAAUUC